rnacentral:rRNA from 1 species
UACGGAGGGGGCUAGCGUUGUUCGGAAUUACUGGGCGUAAAGCGCACGUAGGCGGUUUUGUAAGUUAGAGGUGAAAGCCCGGAGCUCAACCUCGGAAUUGCCUUUAAGACUGCAUCACUUGAAUGUCGGAGAGGUGAGUGGAAUUUCGAGUGUAGAGGUGAAAUUCGUAGAUAUUCGGAAGAACACCAGUGGCGAAGGCGGCUCACUGGACGACUGUUGACGCUGAGGUGCGAAAGCGUGGGGAGCAAACAGG